AUUUUCACAAAGUACCAAAGCCUUGUAUAACCACUUCCUUGAAGAUGUCUUCCAUUUUCUGAAACCACAUCAAUCCACCUAUUUGUAGAAGAGUUAGAAUAUCAAGACAUCUAAGGAAAAAUCAUACCUUGAAAAAUCACAUAUGAGGUCCCCAGUCACAUCAGGUCACUCCUCCGUUUUUGGACUUGGAUGAAAUAACACUCUAGAGUACAAGGGAUCUCUCUUCCUGAGUGGCACUGAGGGAGUCAGAUGAUGUAACAGUAUAAAGAAUUCACUGAACCAACUCUGUUUCGUUAUGAAAACAGCCGCUCAGCAGCAGCAAAGGGGCUAACUGGUACAUUUCAUAGCAAUGAAAACAACCUGCAAAGAUAUUUGGAUGCAGAAAAAUGGAAGCAUAUUGAUAACCUGGCCUAGAAUGAUUUGAAUGGAAUAUCUCAUCUCAGGACAUGGGAUCUGGCACACCAUGUUCUGCAUCCAGAGUGGUUGGCAUGCAAAGGAACUGGAUGACACACAACUUGGAAAUGAUGGACAGUUAACUCCCUAUGGUGAAAAUUUUGACGAUUGGGAAAUAGAAGACAGGAGGGAGACAAGCAGAUAAAUUUCUCCUUCUUUUUCACACCGCCUAACAUAUAUCAUUCCAUACAGCAUGCCCGGGAAUAUACUGGGUAAUGAGUAAAUACAUCUGCCUAGCAAUGUCAUGGCUCAUUGUGAAGCAGUAGUCAGACAUAUAAACAGCAUUUCAUUUAUUUUCCACAUCUUUUUCUUAUCCUAAUGCCUUUAUUCCUUACUCUCCCUGUCUUACGUUUGCAGAUAGGAAAUAAAGCACUGUCACUUAGUCCUCACCUUAGGUUCCAUAUUCUAUGGAAACUGGCAAGCAAAGCCACCUGGUGAAUGUAAGAAUUACUACAUGGGAUUGUUAAAAAUGCAAACUUUCUAAUGUUGGCUUCCUCUACCUUAAACAUGGAAACUUUUCUGUAUCAUUAUUAAUUCCAGAUGCUAUCCUUGUUUCAUAUUAAUCUACGUAUUUAAAAGAAAUAAUGUGGAAUAACUCAAUUUGCCCAGAUAGCAAGCUUUUGCUUUCUUCUUCCAUGCUAAGAAAACUGAAAUUGUGUUAGAGUCAGUGAUAUGCCUAGAGUCAGGCAAUGAAACAUGACUGGCCUAACUCAAUUAUGACAACAGUGUUCCCGAAUUUCCAAGCCUCCUUUCAAGCAGGGGUGCCACCUGUCCCAGCUCUGGAUGGGAUGGUUCUGGAAAAGCUUUGUUUUAAUAAUAAAG
rnacentral:lncRNA from 1 species